rnacentral:tRNA from 1 species
GCUUUGUUAGCUCAAUUCGGUAGAGCAAUUGACUCUUAAUCAAUAGGUUAAAGGUUCAAAUCCUUUACAAAGCA